AGAACGAACGCUGGCGGCAGGCCUCAAACAUGCAAGUCUAGGGGGCGUAGCAAUACGUCACCGGCGGACGGGUGCGUAACACGUGGGAAUGUACUUAUUGGUUCGGAACAACUCAGGGAAACUUGAGCUAAUACCGAAUGUGCCCGAAAGGGGAAAGAUUUAUCGCCAGUAAAUCAGCCCGCGUCCGAUUAGCUAGUUGGUGGGGUAAAGGCUCACCAAGGCAACGAUCGGUAGCUGUUCUGAGAGGAAGAUCAGCCACACUGGGACUGAGACACGGCCCAGACUCCUACGGGAGGCAGCAGUUGGGAAUCUUGGACAAUGGGGGAAACCCUGAUCCAGCCAUGCCGCGUGAGUGAUGAAGGCCUUCGGGUUGUAAACUCUUUCGACGGGGACGAUAAUGACGGUACCCGUAGAAGAAGCUCCGGCUAACUUCGCGCCAGCAGCCGC
rnacentral:rRNA from 1 species